CGCGCCUCGCAGGUCGCUUAUAGGCUGAUCCGGCGUUGACCUCCUACCACUUUCCGUCUUGUCGAGCAACCUAGCAAACAUGGCCGUUUCAUUUUGAAAAAUAAUUAGUUUAAAAGUCCAGUUUUAUAGUAUAUUUGUUGUCUGGAAAUCCCGAAUUAGGCAUGAGCUGGCCAAGUACGAGGGGAAAGAUACCACGGCGGACAUCUGCUAGAUGGCUGCAACCUUUGAAGACCGCGACUAUAAAGGUCUCCCUGCAAACCCUGGUGGAAAUGCAGCAAAUUCAUUGAGUGGUCGGCGCCGUGCUUUCCAACAAGGCGACACAGCGCACGCGGUGUCGAGUCAUCGUGCACCGGGGGCCGUGCGAGACCGGUUUGUUAAACCUUUCAUUGCCUAUUUUAUUUUACCAUAGUUAACUAGCUUCUGCCAGCGACUUCGUCCGCGUUAGAUUCGUACUUUGUGCAAAGCGAGGAAGAAAUAAUAAACACCAGGCUAUCUAAAUUUCACCUAAAAAGAAAUAAAAUGUAAACCAUUUAUUAAUAGUUUCCACCAAAAUAACUAAUACUUACCUACCUUUUUAAUGAAAUAACAACAAAAGUUAACUUCUUUAAAUUAGUGUGUGAGUGUUAUAAAUGUAAUAGUAGACAAAUAUACCUAAUCAGAAAGUGCCGAACUGCUAAGCU